rnacentral:snoRNA from 1 species
CUGCAGCCAAUUAAGUCAACUAGCAUUCUUUCCCCAUGGGGACCCAGAAGAUAGUAGAUGGUAGUGUACACAGCUUAUUGGUUCUAUGGGUUGCCCUACGGGACCUUGGAGACAGAC